CUCGUAGGUGGCCAACUAAGUCAGACGUGAAAUCCCUCGGCUUAACCGGGGAACUGCGUCUGAUACUGGAUGGCUUGAGUUUGGGAGAGGGACGCGGAAUUCCAGGUGUAGCGGUGAAAUGCGUAGAUAUCUGGAGGAACACCGGUGGCGAAGGCGGCGUCCUGCCAACACUGACACUGAUGAGCGAAAGCCAGGGGGAGCAAACG
rnacentral:rRNA from 1 species